rnacentral:rRNA from 1 species
GAUGAACGCUGGCGGCGUGCCUAAUACAUGCAAGUCGAGCGAACAGACGAGGAGCUUGCUCCUCUGACGUUAGCGGCGGACGGGUGAGUAACACGUGGAUAACCUACCUAUAAGACUGGGAUAACUUCGGGAAACCGGAGCUAAUACCGGAUAAUAUAUUGAACCGCAUGGUUCGAUAGUGAAAGACGGUUUUGCUGUCACUUAUAGAUGGAUCCGCGCCGCAUUAGCUAGUUGGUAAGGUAACGGCUUACCAAGGCAACGAUGCGUAGCCGACCUGAGAGGGGGAUCGGCCACACUGGAACUGAGACACGGUCCAGACUCCUACGGGAGGCAGCAGUAGGGAAUCUUCCGCAAAGGGCGAAAGCCUGACGGAGCAACGCCGCGUGAGUGAUGAAGGUCUUCGGAUCGUAAAACUCUGUUAUUAGGGAAGAACAAAUGUGUAAGUAACUAUGCACGUCUUGACGGUACCUAAUCAGAAAGCCACGGCUAACUACGUG